ACGUUUUUGUCUGGUUGGACAUACCUACUUGCACUAUCUCUGCUGUCGUUGUUUUGCGUGAAGGCAUCGAGGACUCGGCAGUACUCUAGCUCUCUAGUCGUCGGCAGCGUCAGAUGUGUAUAAGAGACAGUCGAUGACCUGCGGAUAGGGGUGAAAGGCCAAUCAAACCCGGAGAUAUCUCGUUCUCCCCGAAAUAGCUUUAGGGCUAGCGUCGCGCGUUCACCGCCGGAGGUAGAGCACCGGAUGGACGAGGGGGCUUCGCCGCCUACCGAAUCCAACCGAACUCCGAAUGCCGGCGGCCCAGAGCGCGGCAGUCAGAGCAUGUGGGCUAAGCUGUGUGCUCGAGAGGGAAACAGCCCGGACCGCCCGCUAAGGUCCCCAAGUUCCAGCCGAGUGGCAAAGGAUGUGCGUCCGCCCAGACAACCAGGAUGUUGGCUUAGAAGCAGCCAUCCAUUCAAAGAGUGCGUAACAGCUCACUGGUCGAGUGGACAUGCGCCGACAAUACACGGGGCUAAGCUGGACACCGAAGCGGCGGGAUUUUAAUUCAUUAGAAUCGGUAGGGGAGCUUCCCAUGGGCGGAGAAGCCGGAGGGCGACCGACGGUGGAGCGCAUGGGAGUGAGAAUGCUGGCAUGAGUAGCGAGAGACGAGAGAGUAACUCGUCCGCCGUGAACCCGAGGUUUCCUGGGCAAGGCUAAUCCUCCCAGGGUCAGUCGGGGGCUAAGGCGAGGCCGGUAGGCGUAGCCGACGCGCAGCAGGCAGACAUUCCUGCACCGCGCACGCGGCGCUACGACCGACGGGGCGACGGAUGGGGGUGGCUCGGCGGGGUUCUGGACGUCCCCGUGAUGGAGCGCGGCCCGCGGACCAGGGAAAUCCGGUCCGCACGAGGGCGAGGCUCCGGACGAAGCGACUGAGCGAAGCGAGUGAGCCCGAGGUCCCUAGAAAAACCCCUAGGCAGGCGCGUGCGCGCCCGUACCGCAAACCGACACAGGUGGGUGGGUAGAACAUACCGAGGCGAUCGGGUCAACCAUGGUCAAGGAACUCGGCACAAUGGCCCCGUAACUUCGGGAGAAGGGGUGCCCGCGCGUACGUGAACCGGCUUGCCCGGGGAGCGGAGGCGGGCCGCAGUGGAGAGGCCCAAGCGACUGUUUACCAAAAACACAGGACUCUGCAGAAGCCGCAAGGCGACGUAUAGGGUCUGACGCCUGCCCGGUGCCGGAAGGUCACGCGGAGGAGUUAGCGCAUCGCGCGAAGCCCCGAAGCCAAGCCCCGGUAAACGGCGGCCGUAACUAUAACGGUCCUAAGGUAGCGAAAUUCCUUGUCGGGUAAGUUCCGACCUGCACGAAAGGCGCAACGACUUGGGCGCUGUCUCGACCAUGGACCCGGUGAAAUUGCACUGGUCGUGAAGAUGCGACUUACCCGCGGAAGGACGGAAAGACCCCGUGAACCUUCACUGCAGCUUGGCAUUGGCCGCUGGUCCCGCGUGUAGAGGAUAGGCAGGAGGCAUCGAUCCGGAGGCGCCAGCCCCCGGGGAGCCGCCCUUGGAAUACUGCCCUCGCGCGACCGGCGUCCUAACCCGAGGCCGUCAACCGGCUCGGGGACCGUGCCAGGCGGGCAGUUUGACUGGGGCGGUCGCCUCCUAAAGGGUAACGGAGGCGCGCGAAGGUCCGCUCGGGACGGUCGGCAACCGUCCUUUUGAAUGCAAGAGUACAAGCGGGCUUGACUGCGAGGCCCACAAGCCGAGCAGGUGCGAAAGCAGGCUCUAGUGAUCCGGCGGCCCCGAGUGGGUGGGCCGUCGCUCAACGGAUAAAAGGUACUCCGGGGAUAACAGGCUGAUCUUGCCCAAGAGUCCACAUCGACGGCAAGGUUUGGCACCUCGAUGUCGGCUCAUCGCAUCCUGGGGCUGGAGCAGGUCCCAAGGGUACGGCUGUUCGCCGUUUAAAGCGGUACGCGAGCUGGGUUCAGAACGUCGUGAGACAGUUCGGUCCCUAUCCUCCGUGGGCGCAGGAGAAUCGAUGGAGGCUGCCCCCAGUACGAGAGGACCGGGGUGGACGCACCUCCGGUGAACCGGUUGUCGACCAACGGCACGGCCGGGUAGCCGCGUGCGGCGCGGAUAACCGCUGAAGGCAUCUAAGCGGGAAGCCGUUCCAGGGAUUAGUUCUCCUUCCGGUAAGGGCCCAGGUAGACUACCUGGUCGAUAGACGGCAGGUGCAAGGGCGGCGACGUCCUCAGCCGAGCCGCACUAAUCGCCCGAGCUCUUCCGGA
rnacentral:rRNA from 1 species